CUCUCAGAACUUCGACACAGAUUCCCAUGAAUAAAAAUCACCAUUCCUAUUUACCUGUUCAUUACCUGAGCCAUAACCAAACUUUGCAGCUAAUAAAUCGCUUCAAUUACCUAACAAGUUCACGUUUCAAGUGGGAAUAAUGCAGCAAAAAGUGCGCUAGUUUCGCAUUGUGUAAAAGCUAAGUUCGCAAUCAUGAUGCCCAGGCGGUCGUACAGCCCCAGCGAGGCCGGAAACGUGAACUCCGCCUACAACAUCAGCAGCCCCAAUGUGAACGAGCCCCCUGGCGCUACCGCCAGCGAAACCACCCUCUUAGCCGGUCAGACCUAUUUCGCGGAUGAGCGCAUCCGGAUCCCGGAAGCGUCCCAUGAUGGAUUCAGCUUCAAGAAGCUGUGGGCCUUCACCGGUCCAGGCUUCCUGAUGUCCAUCGCUUACCUGGACCCAGGCAAUAUCGAGAGCGAUUUGCAGUCGGGCACAGUGGCUCAGUACAAGUUGCUCUGGAUGCUUCUAUCCGCUACCAUGCUGGGCUUGCUGAUGCAGCGCCUGUCCGCCCGACUCGGCGUCGUCACCGGGCUGCAUUUGGCCGAAAUGUGCUAUCGAAAGUACAAGAAGGUACCGCGACUGAUCCUGUGGCUGAUGAUCGAAAUCGCCAUCAUUGGCUCGGAUAUGCAAGAGGUGAUUGGAACGGCCAUAGCCAUCUAUUUGUUGUCAGGCACGCGGAUUCCCAUCUACGGCGGCGUUCUGAUCACGAUCGUCGACACGUUCACGUUCCUGAUGUUCGACAAGUACGGCCUGAGGAAGCUGGAGGCCUUCUUCGGCCUUUUAAUCACCAUCAUGGGGGUUACCUUUGGGUAUGAGUAUGUGACGUCGAAGCCCAACGGCCUGGGGGUUUUGGAGGGAAUGUUCAUCCCCUGGUGCAGUGGCUGCGACCAACGCGCCCUUUUACAGGCCAUUGGAAUCAUCGGCGCGGUGAUAAUGCCGCACAACCUCUACCUGCACUCCGCUCUGGUCAAGUCCAGGGACGUGGACAGAAACAACAAGGCCAAAGUCCGGGACGCCAACCUGUACUUUUUCAUCGAAACCUGCAUCGCCUUGCUGGUCAGUUUCGUCAUCAACGUCUUCGUGGUGGCCGUGUUUGCUCACGGCCUGUUCCAGAAAACCAACGCCGAAGUGGUAGGUCCAGAGCACCUCUACCCUCAGGCUCAUUUAUUCAUUCUUCCUUUGCAGCAUAAAGAGUGCCUAAAGUAUCCAUCGAUGAACGCCACCGUCUUCCCAGACACUGGACCGGAGGCGAAUAAAUUCGUGGACGCCGACCUUUACAAGGGCGGCAUUUUCUUGGGUUGCACGUACGGGGUGGUGGCCAUGUACGUUUGGGCAGUGGGCAUUCUAGCUGCUGGCCAAAGCUCUACCAUGACCGGCACCUACGCCGGGCAGUUUGCGAUGGAGGGGUUCCUCAACCUCCAAUGGGCGCGCUGGAAGCGGGUGCUGUUCACCAGGACAAUUGCAAUUGUGCCCACCUUUUUCCUGGCCUUUUUCAGCUCGAUCAACGACCUGACUAGCAUGAAUGAUAUCCUGAACGCCGUCAUGAGCAUCCAGCUGCCGUUUGCUGCUAUUCCUACCAUUGCCUUCACCAGCAAUCCGCAGAUUAUGGGCGAGUUUGUCAACGGAUUAGCCAACAAAGUAAUGGCCACUCUUCUGAGCUUGGUGGUCAUUUGCAUCAACACCUACACAGUGAUUGCAACAGUGAAGGAGUUUUCGCUGCACUGGCUGUCGCUGACUGGCAUUGGAGUGCUGGGCGUGUGUUACUUGCUCUUCUGCGUCUACUUGGUCGUUCACAUGAGCAUUUCCAUGGGAAGCACGCGCUUGUUGCAGUACGAUCUGGUUAGGAAGUACGUCAUUGGCACAUCCCAGGACGCCAACCUUGGCGUCAGCCCGAUCAGCUACUCCAGUGAACUCAAUGCUUAAAGCUGAUGUUUCGGGUAUGUUGCUUGCAUGAAACCGUCGGAUGUACGGAACACUUACGUGUACUAACCUAGACCUAUGUAGACCCCUAGUAUUCUAGGGCGUAGUACUCGGACUCCGAACUGCGCAACCCGGCCUUCAUAGUGGGCAAAUCGGACGUGAUCAGUUGAUGUCUGAGCGCUCAGCGCUGAGCGGUUUUACCGAUGUGAUAAACGAUAUUCAGGGCUCUAGCGGCUGGACCUUAUUGUUACCAUGUACUGCGAAUUGUAUAUAGCAACCGUUCAAAAAUAUAAAAGUCGAUUUUGUAA